rnacentral:rRNA from 1 species
UGGGGAAUAUUGGACAAUGCGCGAAAGCCUGAUCCAGCCAUGCCGCGUGUGUGAAGAAGGUCUUCGGGUUGUAAAGCUCUUUUGGCGGGGACGAUAAUGACGGUACCCGCAGAAUAAGCCCCGCCUAACUUCGUGCCAGCAGCCGCGGUAUUACGAAGGGGGCUAGCGUUGUUCGGA